rnacentral:rRNA from 1 species
UGGGGAAUAUUGGGCAAUGGGCGCAAGCCUGACCCAGCCAUGCCGCGUGAGUGAUGAAGGCCUUCGGGUCGUAAAGCUCUGUGGGGAGGGAAGAAACCGCUUACUGAUAAUACCAGUGAGUCUUGACGGUACCUCCUUAGCAAGCACCGGCUAACUCCGUGCCAGCAGCCGCGGUAAUACGGAGGGUGCAAACGUUGCUCGGAAUCAUUGGGCGUAAAGCGCACGUAGGCGGCCUGUUAAGUCGGAUGUGAAAGCCCUGGGCUCAACCCAGGAAGUGCAUACGAAACUGGCAGGCUUGAAUAUGGAAGAGGGUCGCGGAAUUCCCGGUGUAGAGGUGAAAUUCGUAGAUAUCGGGAGGAACACCAGUGGCGAAGGCGGCGACCUGGGCCAAUAUUGACGCUGAGGUGCGAAAGCGUGGGGAGCAAACAGGAUUAGAUACCCCCGUAGUCC